UACAGAGGUGCCGAGCGUUAGGCGGAAUCACUGGGCUUAAAGCGUGUGUAGGCGGAUGCCUAAGUACCUUGUGAAAUCCCCCGGCUUAACCGGGGAACUGCUUGGUAUACUGGGUGUCUUGAGCCACUUAGGGGCGACCGGAACAAACGGUGGAGCGGUGAAAUGCGUAGAUAUCGUUUGGAACGCCAAUGGUGAAAACAGGUCGCUGGGAGUGUGCUGACGCUGAGACACGAAAGCCAGGGGAGCGAGCGGG
rnacentral:rRNA from 1 species